GAUGAAGAACGUAGCGAAAUGCGAUAAGUAGUGUGAAUUGCAGAAUUCAGUGAAUCAUCGAAUCUUUGAACGCACAUUGCGCCCCUUGGUAUUCCAUGGGGCAUGCCUGUUCGAGCGUCAUUUGUACCUUCAAGCUUUGCUUGGUGUUGGGUGUUUGUCCCGAGGGACUCGCCUUAAAGUAAUUGGCAGCCAGUGUUUGGUUUUGAAGCGCAGCACAAGUCGCGAUUCAAGGCUACACGCCCGCUUCCACAAGCCUUUUUUCACUUUUGACCUCGGAUCAGGUAGGGAUACCCGCUGAACUUAAGCAUAUCAAUAAGCCGGAGGA
rnacentral:misc_RNA from 1 species